GAAAGAGGGGAGUUGUCGCUGGCCUUUUACCAGGCAUGUGCACGCUCUCCUCGGAACCUAAGCCUUAUGGGCGCGGGGCGACCCGCGUCUUCAUAUACCUCUUCGUGUAGAAAGUCUUUGAAUGUUUAUACUAUCAUCGAGUCGCGACUUCUAGGAGACGCGGUUCUUUGAGACAAAAGUUAUUACAACUUUCAGCAAUGGAUCUCUUGGCUCUCGCAUCGAUGAAGAACGCAGCGAAUCGCGAUAUGUAAUGUGAAUUGCAGAUCUACAGUGAAUCAUCGAAUCUUUGAACGCACCUUGCGCUCCUCGGUGUUCCGAGGAGCAUGCCUGUUUGAGCGUCAGUAAAUUCUCAACCCCUCUCGAUUUGCUUCGAUAGGGUGCUUGGAUACUGGGGGCUGCCGGAGACCUGGACUCUCGUCUAGGACUUGGGCUCUCCUGAAAUGAAUCGGCUUGCGGUCGACUUUCGACUUUGCAUGACAAGGCUUUUGGCGUGAUAAUGAUCGCCGUUCGCUGAAGUGCAUGAAUGAAUGG
rnacentral:rRNA from 1 species